UUUCCAUCCAGGCUGCCCACUUCCCAGGGAGCUCCAGGACGAUCCGACCACCGUGUGCCAGGGAAUGCUGUCUUGAAAGCAUAGUCAUAUUCCUUCACUGUUCUACCUGGAAUCAUCUGAGCACUUCUCCAGGAACACAUGAAUGGGUAUUUUUUUGAAUAUCUACUUUGUGCCAGGCUCUUCAGGAUGAAAGACUGACUGCACACCUACGGCAGAUAGGGCAGACGCAAGACUGAAAAAGAACAAAUCUUCUGCAUUCAUGUCCAAGAGAGCUCUCAGAACCAAUUCUCAUUGCCCUUGAGAGUAGAGUGGCCCAUUGAGAAUGCGUAGUUUAAAGAAAAAAUGGCAGCAAAUGCAGCUGGGGCCUGGUCACCGAGAGUGAGGACAGGAGACGAGGUCAGAGGGCCAAGGAGGCCUCAGUGGUCUCAGAAGGCAGACCCUAGACCGCAACAGCUACACCCGGAGGGCAUUAGAGAAUCGGAGUGGCAUCCGGCAGCCUGUGGGUGCAGAAGCCUUUCGGGUGGCUCCAGAGGCUUGCUAGAGUCUGUGGCCACCACGGAACCCGUCACUGCACUGCAAAACCCACCGGAAGCUCGGAGGGUCUCGCGAGAAAAUCUGGGGACACUUACAAGGGUGACUCUGGUUACCUGACCAUGAGAAUGGACAGAGUGGGGCAAAAAAUAAAAGAGCGAGAAGCCCC